UGUCGUUUGCUAUGGUAAUCCUGCUGUACGAGAGGAAAACCGCAAGGUUCAGACAUUUGGUUUAUGUGCUUGGUCGAAAGACCAAUGGCGACCCAAUGGUGCGAAGCUACCAUCUGAGGGAUUAAGACUGAAAGCCUCUUAAGUCUGAAUCCCGCCCAGAAAUGCAACGAUACUAUCGGUGCCCCUACGCCGGGAGGCAACGAUAUAUACUCGGCCCGAAAUCCGAUUUCGGCGGCCGAGACUGGCUAAAGCCACUGCGAUACUGGCCACACCCGCUGUCUUGAAAUUUGGCAGUGGAGGCACAGACACGAUACCACUUGAUUGAGACGUAGGGGUUCUAUAUCGUUUGUAGACGACUUAGAUCUCGGUCGGGGUGCCGUACUUAGUUGAGCAGUUCUUCACUGCGAUCUAUUGAGGCUAAGCCUUUUGACGGGGAGAUAU
rnacentral:ncRNA from 1 species